GACGAACGCUGGCGGCGUGCUUAACACAUGCAAGUCGAGCGAUGAAGCACCUUCGGGUGUGAAUUAGCGGCGAACGGGUGAGGAACACGUGAGAAAUCUGCCUUCAACACUGGGAUAACUCCGGGAAACCGGGGCUAAUACCGGAUAUGAAACCUGCGGGCAUCCGCGGGUUUGGAAAGUUUUUCGGUUGAAGAUGAUCUCGCGGCCUAUCAGCUUGUUGGUGAGGUAAUGGCUCACCAAGGCGACGACGGGUAGCCGGCCUGAGAGGGCGACCGGCCACACUGGGACUGAGACACGGCCCAGACUCCUACGGGAGGCAGCAGUGGGGAAUAUUGGGCAAUGGAGGAAACUCUGACCCAGCGACGCCGCGUGCGGGAUGAAGGCCUUCGGGUUGUAAACCGCUUUCAGCAGGGAGGAUUAUGACGGUACCUAUAGAAUAAGGACCGGCUAACUACGUGCCAGCAGCCGCAGUAA
rnacentral:rRNA from 1 species